rnacentral:rRNA from 1 species
AUUGAACGCUGGCGGCAUGCCUUACACAUGCAAGUCGAACGGUAACAGGUCUUCGGAUGCUGACGAGUGGCGAACGGGUGAGUAAUACAUCGGAACGUGCCCAGACGUGGGGGAUAACGAGGCGAAAGCUUUGCUAAUACCGCAUACGAUCUAAGGAUGAAAGCAGGGGACCGCAAGGCCUUGCGCGUUUGGAGCGGCCGAUGGCAGAUUAGGUAGUUGGUGGGAUAAAAGCUUACCAAGCCGACGAUCUGUAGCUGGUCUGAGAGGACGACCAGCCACACUGGGACUGAGGCACGGCCCAGACUCCUACGGGAGGCAGCAGUGGGGAAUUUUGGACAAUGGGCGAAAGCCUGAUCCAGCAAUGCCGCGUGCAGGAUGAAGGCCUUCGGGUUGUAAACUGCUUUUGUACGGAACGAAAAGGCUCUGGCUAAUACCUGGGGCACAUGACGGUACCGUAAGAAUAAGCACCGGCUAACUACGUG